rnacentral:rRNA from 1 species
UACGAAGGGGGCUAGCGUUGUUCGGAUUUACUGGGCGUAAAGGGCGCGUAGGCGGGCGAAUAAGUCAGGGGUGAAAUCCCAAGGCUCAACCUUGGAACUGCCUUUGAUACUGUUUGUCUUGAGUCCGGGAGAGGUGAGUGGAACUGCGAGUGUAGAGGUGAAAUUCGUAGAUAUUCGCAAGAACACCAGUGGCGAAGGCGGCUCACUGGCCCGGAACUGACGCUGAGGCGCGAAAGCGUGGGGAGCAAACAGG